rnacentral:rRNA from 1 species
UUCCGGUUGAUCCUGCCGGACCCCACUGCUAUCGGGAUAGGACUAAGACAUGCUAGUCACCUCAGCGGAGUGCGGCAUACAGCUCAGUAGCACGUGGCUAACCUGCCCUUGGGACAGGGACAACCCCGGGAAACUGGGGCUAAUCCCCAAUAGGCGAAGGCUUCUGGAAUGAACUUUCACCCGAAUGCUCCUUCGCCCAAGGAUGGGGCCGCGACCGAUCAGGUUGUUGGUGAGGCAACGGCUCACCAAGCCUAUAACCGGUGCGGGCCGUGGGAGCGGGAGCCCGGAGAUGGGCACUGAGACAAGGGCCCAGGCCCUACGGGGCGCAGCAGUCGCGCAACCUUUGCAAUACACGCAAGUGUGACAGGGCUAUCCCGAGUGCCGUCCGCUGAGGAUGGCUUUUACCCAGUCUAGAAAGCUGGGGGAAUAAGGAGAGGGCAAGUCUGGUGUCAGCCGCCGCGGUAAUACCAGCUCUCCGAGUGGUGUGGAUGUUUAUUGGGCCUAAAGCAUCCGUAGCUGGCCAAGUUAGUCCCCUGUUAAACCCACCGAAUUAAUCGUUGGCGUGCGGGGGAUACUGCUCGGCUAGGGGACGGGAGAGGCAGACGGUAUUAUCGGGGUAGGGGUGAAAUCCUAUAAUCCCGGGAAGACCACCAGUGGCGAAGGCUGUCUGCUAGAACGCGCCCGACGGUGAGGGGUGAAAGCUGGGGGAGCGAACCGGAUUAGAUACCCGGGUAGUCCCAGCUGUAAACGAUGCAGGCUAGGUGUUUGGACGGCCACGUGCCGUUCUAGUGCCGCAGGGAAGCUGUUAAGCCUGCCGCCUGGGGAGUACGGUCGCAAGAUUGAAACUUAAAGGAAUUGGCGGGGGAGCACCACAAGGGGUGAAGCUUGCGGUUUAAUUGGAUUCAACGCCGGA